GUCCCCGUCGUCUAGGGGUCUAGGACACCGGGUUUUCAUCCCGGCAACAGGGGUUCGAAUCCCCUCGGGGAUGC
rnacentral:tRNA from 2 species